rnacentral:rRNA from 1 species
GAUGAACGCUGGCGGCGUGCUUAACACAUGCAAGUCGAACGAGAAAUGUAGACGGAAACCUUCGGGCGGAAGCCUUCAUUUCGAGUGGCGGACGGGUGAGUAACGCGUGGGUAACCUGCCUCAUACAGGGGGAUAACAGUUGGAAACGACUGUUAAUACCGCAUAAGACCACAGCAUCGCAUGAUGCGGGGGUAAAAACUCCGGUGGUAUGAGAUGGACCCGCGUUCGAUUAGCCAGUUGGCGGGGUAACGGCCCUCCAAAGCGACGAUCGAUAGCCGAUCUGAGAGGAUGACCGGCCACAUUGGGACUGAGACACGGCCCAAACUCCUACGGGAGGCAGCAGUGGGGAAUAUUGCACAAUGGGGGAAACCCUGAUGCAGCGACGCCGCGUGAGUGAAGAAGUACUUCGGUAUGUAAAGCUCUAUCAGCAGGGAAGAAAAUGACGGUACCUGAGUAAGAAGCCCCGGCUAACUACGUG